GUGCUUGCUUUGGAAGCACAUAUACUAACAUUGGAAUGAUACAGAGAAGAUUAGCAUGGUGUGUGUGCAAGGAUGACAUGCAAAUUUAUGAAGCAUUCCAUAUAUUU
ensembl:snRNA U6 U6 spliceosomal RNA